rnacentral:rRNA from 1 species
UACGUAGGGUGCAAGCGUUAAUCGGAAUUACUGGGCGUAAAGCGUGCGCAGGCGGUUUUGUAAGUCUGUCGUGAAAGCCCCGGGCUCAACCUGGGAAUUGCGAUGGAGACUGCAAGGCUUGAAUCUGGCAGAGGGGGGUAGAAUUCCACGUGUAGCAGUGAAAUGCGUAGAGAUGUGGAGGAACACCGAUGGCGAAGGCAGCCCCCUGGGUCAAGAUUGAAGCUCAUGCACGAAAGCGUGGGGAGCAACCAGG